rnacentral:rRNA from 1 species
UGGCACCGUAACUUCGGGAGAAGGUGCGCCGGUGAGGGUGAAGCAUUUACUGCGUAAGCCCACGCCGGUCGAAGAUACCAGGCCGCUGCGACUGUUUAUUAAAAACACAGCACUCUGCAAACACGAAAGUGGACGUAUAGGGUGUGACGCCUGCCCGGUGCCGGAAGGUUAAUUGAUGGGGUUAGCGCAAGCGAAGCUCUUGAUCGAAGCCCCGGUAAACGGCGGCCGUAACUAUAACGGUCCUAAGGUAGCGAAAUUCCUUGUCGGGUAAGUUCCGACCUGCACGAAUGGCGUAACGAUGGCGGCGCUGUCUCCACCCGAGACUCAGUGAAAUUGAAAUCGCUGUGAAGAUGCAGUGUAUCCGCGGCUAGACGGAAAGACCCCGUGAACCUUUACUAUAGCUUUGCACUGGACUUUGAAUUUGCUUGUGUAGGAUAGGUGGGAGGCUUUGAAGCGUGGACGCCAGUCUGCGUGGAGCCAACCUUGAAAUACCACCCUGGCAACUUUGAGGUUCUAACUCAGGUCCGUUAUCCGGAUCGAGGACAGUGUAUGGUGGGUAGUUUGACUGGGGCGGUCUCCUCCUAAAGAGUAACGGAGGAGUACGAAGGUGCGCUCAGACCGGUCGGAAAUCGGUCGUAGAGUAUAAAGGCAAAAGCGCGCUUGACUGCGAGACAGACACGUCGAGCAGGUACGAAAGUAGGUCUUAGUGAUCCGGUGGUUCUGUAUGGAAGGGCCAUCGCUCAACGGAUAAAAGGUACUCCGGGGAUAACAGGCUGAUACCGCCCAAGAGUUCAUAUCGACGGCGGUGUUUGGCACCUCGAUGUCGGCUCAUCACAUCCUGGGGCUGAAGCCGGUCCCAAGGGUAUGGCUGUUCGCCAUUUAAAGUGGUACGCGAGCUGGGUUUAGAACGUCGUGAGACAGUUCGGUCCCUAUCUGCCGUGGACGUUUGAGAUUUGAGAGGGGCUGCUCCUAGUACGAGAGGACCGGAGUGGACGAACCUCUGGUGUUCCGGUUGUCACGCCAGUGGCAUUGCCGGGUAGCUAUGUUCGGAAAAGAUAACCGCUGAAAGCAUCUAAGCGGGAAACUUGCCUCAAGAUGAGAUCUCACUGGAACCUUGAGUUCCCUGAAGGGCCGUCGAAGACUACGACGUUGAUAGGUUGGGUGUGUAAGCGCUGUGAGGCGUUGAGCUAACCAAUACUAAUUGCCCGUGAGGCUUGACCAU